UACGGGGGGGGCAAGCGUUGUUCGGAAUUACUGGGCGUAAAGGGCCCGUAGGCGGCCAACUAAGUCGGAUGUGAAAUCCCCAGGCUUAACCUGGGAACUGCAUCCGAUACUGGAUGGCUUGAAUUCGGGAGAGGGAUGCAGAAUUCCAGGUGUAGCGGUGAAAUGCGUAGAUAUCUGGAGGAAUACCGGUGGCGAAGGCGGCAUCCUGGACCGACAUUGACGCUGAACGGCGAAAGCUAGGGGAGCAAACGGG
rnacentral:rRNA from 1 species